UCAGAUCACGUUGAAACAUCAUUUCCCGUACGAUCACCGAAGUUAAGCAACGUCGAGCGUGGUAAAUACCGGAAAUGGGUGACCGCUUGAGAAUAGGAGGGGCUGUAA